rnacentral:sRNA from 1 species
AAGAACAUGCGGCAAACAGGGCCUCUGCGGAGACGAGUGGUGCGGAUGAGAAGCAAGGAAAUGAUGUGGAUAGUAGGACGAGUCGGGUUGGGAAGUGGGAGAGUGGUAAGGGCAGAUGUGCGGUUACCGGCCGCAGAGUACUGGGUGGAUCAGAGGGCUUGAGGAGGGUGCUUGUUUAAUUUUAUAAUUAUUAUUACUAAUAUGGAUAGAAUGUGUAGAGGCUAGUACCUCGGAGAAUGGGGGGAUAUGUGAUACAUAUUCAACUUUAAAAGCGGAGAAAAAAAAAACUGCACCAUAUCUAUAUGUAUAUAUACAUGGCGCAUUUUCUCGUCAAAAUAACCGUGACUACGAUUAAGAUAUCACUACGAUACUAUCUAUGCAAUAGAUCAUUGUAAUAAAUAUAUAUUCCACAUGGCAGC